ACUACGGGGGGCAGCAGUGGGGAAUAUUGCACAAUGGGCGCAAGCCUGAUGCAGCCAUGCCGCGUGUGUGAAGAAGGCCUUCGGGUUGUAAAGCACUUUCAGCGGGGAGGAAGGCGGUGAGGUUAAUAACCUCAUCGAUUGACGUUACCCGCAGAAGAAGCACCGGCUAACUCCGUGCCAGCAGCCGCGGUAAUACGGAGGGUGCAAGCGUUAAUCGGAAUUACUGGGCGUAAAGCGCACGCAGGCGGUCUGUCAAGUCGGAUGUGAAAUCCCCGGGCUCAACCUGGGAACUGCAUUCGAAACUGGCAGGCUAGAGUCUUGUAGAGGGGGGUAGAAUUCCAGGUGUAGCGGUGAAAUGCGUAGAGAUCUGGAGGAAUACCGGUGGCGAAGGCGGCCCCCUGGACAAAGACUGACGCUCAGGUGCGAAAGCGUGGGGAGCAAACAGGAUUAGAACCCUUGUAGUC
rnacentral:rRNA from 1 species